AUGCGUCGGGCGACGUGCUCCUCAUUCCCGACGACAAGGCUUGCGGUGGAGGCGGUUAGAGGAGACCGGCAAGGGGCGGCACUCGGAGGAGUUCGAGGGCGGCUUGAGGCCACGGCGGCAGUGGCUUGCGGAGGCGCUGGGACUCUGGCAAGCGACGGGGAGGCCGGAAGGAGGCGGACGAGCAGGACGGAGAGGACGCAGCAGGCAACGGAACUUGGCGAGGCAGUGGAGGCAGGGCUUGUCGGAGGCGGACUUGACGCGGCCCCGGUGACGCCAGCUGAUCCGAGGCGGAGGUUGCGGAUGACGGCGAGGUACCUGACCAGCGGCGGACUUCCAGUUCCCUGGUGCUGGCGCGACAUCCUGCGAGAGCAAGCCGAGAGAGAGCGGGAGAUCUUGAGAGAGAGGCAAACGGGAGGAGAAAGCAGAAGGAAAAAAAGGAGGCAGGGAGAAGAUAGUGAAGGAGAGGGCGACGGGAUCCUGGUGGUCGCCGGCGGGGUUGGGCGGACGAGGUAG
rnacentral:rRNA from 1 species